UACGAAGGGGGCUAGCGUUGUUCGGAUUUACUGGGCGUAAAGCGCACGUAGGCGGAUGUGCCAGUCAGGGGUGAAAUCCCGGAGCUCAACUCCGGAACUGCCUCUGAUACAGCACGUCUUGAGUUCGAGAGAGGUGGGUGGAAUUCCUAGUGUAGAGGUGAAAUUCGUAGAUAUUAGGAAGAACACCGGUGGCGAAGGCGGCCCACUGGCUCGAUACUGACGCUGAGGUGCGAAAGCGUGGGGAGCAAACAGG
rnacentral:rRNA from 1 species